CCAAUGAUAGUCGAAUUUGUUUUUGAAUUCUACAGAAGGUUACAGGUUAAGUCGACCUACUCCCGUUAAAAGCGUGUAGUUAAUAUCAUUUCUGACUAAUUUGAUUAUGAAACGUCCUGUUCUAAAUCUAACCGUUAAUUAAAUUCAAAUAUCUCAAUAUAAGUAUAAGAUGUAUUUGGUCCAUUAUGUUGAAGCCACACUUAAUUAGUGAUGACACUUAAUAACACCUUAAGAAGAGUAAACUUCUACGAAUCCUACUCCUACUAAUGUACGAUAACGACGUCAAAGAACGAAAGCUUUGAUCUACUCUUUGUGCUCUACAAACUUUAAUAAAUGAUCGAAGUUUUUGUCCGGGGAACGACUUCGGAGUAAAAACAGGACGUCUGCAGAGGACGAGGUAAAGCUCCGAUCAAGGUGACACCCCGGGAGGAAAAUAUGAGGUAACGUAUAUGGUACAGAAAUAGACGUCACCUUUAUUGUUUUACCUACAAACAUAAACAUAUUCCUGCAGUGUACGUGUGUAUUUUUAUGAACUUAGUUAUUCUAGUAACGAUAAUUAUAUUCUACCUAUUCUAUUUUAUUUUUUUACCUAAAAUCUUGUUAUUGAUGUGUACGCCUAUCUGCCCUCUUUUAGUUUUAAGUUUAUCUCUUUCCCGGUUUGCUAGAAGACAUUUCUACUAGAAAUAAGUUGAAUUGUUUAUCUGUA